rnacentral:rRNA from 1 species
GCUUUUGAUGGGCGUCGACCGGCGCACGGGUGAGUAACGCGUAUCCAACCUGCCCAUCACUUGGGGAUAACCUUGCGAAAGUAAGACUAAUACCCAAUGACGUCUCUAGAAGACAUCUGAAAGAGAUUAAAGAUUUAUCGGUGAAGGAUGGGGAUGCGUCUGAUUAGCUUGUUGGCGGGGUAACGGCCCACCAAGGCGACGAUCAGUAGGGGUUCUGAGAGGAAGGUCCCCCACAUUGGAACUGAGACACGGUCCAAACUCCUACGGGAGGCAGCAGUGAGGAAUAUUGGUCAAUGGACGAGAGUCUGAACCAGCCAAGUAGCGUGCAGGAUGACGGCCCUAUGGGUUGUAAACUGCUUUUAUAAGGGAAUAAAGUGAGAGUCGUGACUCUUUUUGCAUGUACCUUAUGAAUAAGGACCGGCUAAUUCCGUGCCAGCAGCCGCGGUAAUACGGAAGGUCCGGGCGUUAUCCGGAUUUAUUGGGUUUAAAGGGAGCGUAGGCCGGAGAUUAAGCGUGUUGUGAAAUGUA